UUUUACUGUUGCUUCUGAGUCUGCAUUUAGCACUAGUGGUAGGUUGGUGAGCCCGUAUCGAAGUAGACUUCAUCCAGAUACUUUGGAAGCAUUGAUGUGUGCACAGAGUUGGUUAUGGGCUAUAGAGAUGCAAGGAAAUUCAACAUUAGAAUCAGUUGGUUACGCCACUAUAUAUGAUGAUAUGGAUGUGAAUCAGAGUUGAUCUUUCUUUUGCAUUGGGUUUUGUUGCUGGAGGGUUGCUGCUGUUGGAAUGUUGCUGUUACUGGAGUGUUGCUACUGUAAGAAACUUGUAAAGACUUAAAGUUGAAAUGUCAAAGAAUGCACUUUGUUGAGUUGGGAGCUGAAAUGUCAAAGAAUGUGCAUCGGGAGUUUAAUGUGUUUUGCUUCUAGUUGAAUUAAGCCUUACUAUGAACAUCUAACUACUUUAAUUAUUCUGUGCAAUUCAUUUAUGAUGUUUAGAAUUACACUGAUAGAUACUUUAACGUACAUGUGUAUUUAGAGUGAAGUUAUUCAUAUGUGGGUUUUGGUUGGCAAAGAGUUUUUUGACAUUAUUUUA